GACGAACGCUGGCGGCGUGCCUAAUACAUGCAAGUCGAGCGGAGAUGUUGGAGCUUGCUCCAACAUCUUAGCGGCGGACGGGUGAGUAACACGUGGGCAACCUGCCCUGCAGAUCGGGAUAACUCCGGGAAACCGGUGCUAAUACCGAAUAGUUUGUUUCACCGCCUGGUGAAACACGGAAAGACGGUUUCGGCUGUCACUGCAGGAUGGGCCCGCGGCGCAUUAGCUAGUUGGUGGGGUAAUGGCCCACCAAGGCGACGAUGCGUAGCCGACCUGAGAGGGUGAUCGGCCACACUGGGACUGAGACACGGCCCAGACUCCUACGGGAGGCAGCAGUAGGGAAUCUUCCGCAAUGGACGAAAGUCUGACGGAGCAACGCCGCGUGAGUGACGAAGGUUUUCGGAUCGUAAAACUCUGUUGUGAGGGAAGAACAAGUACCAACUAACUACUGGUACC
rnacentral:rRNA from 1 species